rnacentral:rRNA from 1 species
UACGUAGGGCGCGAGCGUUGUCCGGAUUUAUUGGGCGUAAAGAGCUCGUAGGCGGUUUGUCGCGUUGUUCGUGAAAUUCCCUGGCUUAACUGGGGGCGUGCGGGCGAUACGGGCAGACUGGAGUACUGCAGGGGAGACUGGAAUUCCUGGUGUAGCGGUGGAAUGCGCAGAUAUCAGGAGGAACACCGGUGGCGAAGGCGGGUCUCUGGGCAGUAACUGACGCUGAGGAGCGAAAGCGUGGGGAGCGAACAGG